ACAGCCAGGCCCUGGCCUCUGACCAGGGGCCAUCCACAUCAACACUGCUUACACUCCACCAUACCUCCCAGCUACUGGCCCAGCCAACCAGCUCUAUACACACACUGAGACAGACAGGGAGAGGAACAAGGCUGGAGAAAUGAAGACUGCAAAAAUGUGACCGUGUGAGCGUGUGUGCGUGCGUAUGUGUGCAUGCGUGCGUGCGUGUUGGUGGGCGGAUGGCGAUGAGGGCAAGGAGCAACGAAGAGGAGAAAGAAAUAAAGAUAGAAAUGGAGUCAGAGAAUUCAGCCCCAUAAAAGAAGACAGAGGAAUAAAAGACAGGCUAAGGAGAAGACAAGGCCUCAGCUGUGCUCUGCACUGAUCUACACACUGUGAUUACCUGGAGCAGAAAACCGAAUGUAAAGGCCUUGGGCUGGCUUUGAUAUUUCCAUCGUUUGUUUGUCUGCUAUGACCUGGACUACAUCUAACAGACCUAGACUGGAGGUCAGUAGGAAUCAAGGGAUGGCCAAGCACAUACAGGGUUUUCCUCUCCCUCUCUAUUAAACUCUCACCAACACUCA